AUAGUGUUAGGAUAACCAGGAGUUAAGGCAUAUGCAAAAGAACAGCAGGUGCAGCCAUUUUGCAUAAGUGAAAACAGCAGGUGCAGCCAUUUUGCAUAAGUGAAAGAACAGCAGGUGCAGACACUUCUAGGCAAGAUUCAGCAGCAUACAGGCCACAUCCUUUCUCCUGUGAUACAAGACAGAAGUUUCCACUUCGACCUCUGAUUGACUGUAGGCCAAGCCUUUGCUUCAGCUUUUGACUGGUUGCAGGUGAAUCCUUCAUAGGGUGUAAUCAAUUGGGGCCUUUAAAGGUGAGGUGAUACCUCACCUGUAGAGCAUUGCAAUGGAGAAGCUUUUGGGCCGCUUGCUGGAGCCUGCUCCUACUCUGUGAGUUGUACUUUUGCUUCUUCAGUAAAUCCGUGUCUUUGUUACUUCAUUCUUUUAUUGCGUUGUUUGUUUUUCAUUGUUUUGUUCUUUCGUUGCUUUUUUUGUGUAUUUUGUUCAAUACUUUAACACACGAGGAAUCUGGACAACUCACAGUCAAGACCUUCCAUCUGACACAUUUUGGCAAGCCAGCCAGAAGGGCUGUCAUGAACACUCAGAGAAAGCCUGAUCUGAACCACAAUUGGAAGAGUAAGCGCUUUGCCACAGUGAUCAAGACUGGGAGUGCUGGAGAGGGGAGAGGAAAAUGAAGGUAAAGGUAUGUUAGUAUGAAAAUUGGUCACCUGGGGAAUGUCCAGUGUGGCUAAAAUUUGGGGAACAUGCAGUGUGGUCUGGACAGGUUUGGAAUACCAUCUAGCAUUUUUUGCUUUUCUUUGGGCAGUAGGACAAAAUAAUCUCUGAACUAUUGCUUGGCUAUUUGUGCCAGAAAUUUUAAUUAUUGAUGAUAUCUAUGUCAACAGUCAUAUUUAUCUUUCAAAACGUACUAUAUGUAAGGAUCUCCUUGUGCUAUAUAGUAAGGGUGGUGACGAAGUGUCAUAAAUAUAGGGAAAGGCGGAGCAGUAAUAAGAACAUGAGAAAGCAUCUGUGAAUCAGAGGCUUCAUUUUGAGGUUUUUCCCCAAAACAAAAAGGAGAAAACUAAAAACUUGACAGGUUACUUUUUUUCUAACAAAGAAUGACUGUCUCUACUUUGGAUUGCAUGCUUUCUCAAGUUUGAGUUUAGAAUAUCCACUCUUUUGUGAACCUUUGCCUAAAGAGUCAGAGUAAUGGUUAGAGGCGUUGUAUUGUAAUGUUUUACAGAUAUGUGGAGGUCUGUACUUGGAACUUCUCAUUUUACAUUCAGCCUUUCAGUGAAAGGUGAACACGAGGCUGACAUUUUAUAACGGCAAAACUUAGGGACCAGAGCUACAAGACGUGUUCAGAAGACUGG
rnacentral:lncRNA from 1 species